rnacentral:rRNA from 1 species
AGAGUGAACGCUGGCGGUAGGCCUAACACAUGCAAGUCGAACGGCAGCACAGUAGGAGCUUGCUCUUACGGGUGGCGAGUGGCGGACGGGUGAGGAAUACAUCGGAAUCUACCUUUUGGUGGGGGAUAACGUAGGGAAAACUUACGCUAAUACCGCAUACGCCCUUCGGGGGAAAGCCGGGACCAGCAAUGGCCUGGUGCUGAUAGAUGAGCCGAUGUCGGAUUAGCUAGUUGGUGAGGUAAUGGCUCACCAAGGCGACGAUCCGUAGCUGGUCUGAGAGGAUGAUCAGCCACACUGG